CAUUUGUAUAUGGUUCAUUUUACUCAUCAGCAACCAACCUUGAGAUAAUUAAUCUUAGUAGCAGCUGCCACUCCCCCUUCCAUUUUCUCUCCUCCUCCUCUUCCUCUUCCCCUCCUCUUUCUCCUUUCCCUCCUCCUCCUUCCCCUCCUCCUCUUUAUCCCCCUUCCCCCUUCCUCCUCCUCAUCUUCCUCUUUUUCCUCCUCUUUCCUCAUUGACU
rnacentral:lncRNA from 1 species